GCAGGCAGCACCACAACAGGCACGCAAGUUAAUCUACUUCUUCUUCUAUAUCGAUUUGGUUAUUCAUUUGAUUUUGUUCAGAUUAGAAAAUUGAUUUGGUUCUUCAAUUGCAUUUUUAUUUUUUACUACUUAGACCCGUAUUUUUUUUGCCGAGAAAGGCAGGAGCUCUGCCAUGCAAUAUUAGAAGGGAGAAACCAAGUAUAUGUACAAUAGACUGAGGUCAAAAAACCACG
rnacentral:lncRNA from 1 species